rnacentral:snRNA from 1 species
GCGGCCAGGAGAUCAGCAUCAAGUUAAAACUCACAUCGUACAUGGUUCUUGCCUUUUACCAGAGCCAUCCGGGUGCUGUCUCUGCUAAUGGCCGUCUCGUGCAUUUUUUGGAACCCCCCUUC